UGCCUUCUGAGUGCUGGGAUUAAAGGCGUG
rnacentral:piRNA from 1 species